CUUCGCCAUUUUUCUUAACAAAAGACUUUGUAUCCAGUCACAGUAAAACAGCUCCCUAUGGGAGAAUAAGAUGUCAUCAUCAUCACUCCUUUGUGGCCCCUGGGGAGCAAAGGGCUGCAACCACACAUCUCCAGCGGACUUGGUUUUGGGCUGCUCCUCUAAUCUGUGCCCAUGAGAGCCCAGCUGUUUUCGCCUCCUCCUCAACCGUUCUCUUCUAUGUUUUCCUUGGCCGGCCCACCCUCCUUUUUCCCUGGGGAUUCCAGUCUAAUGCAUGUUUUGAUGAAUAAGAUGCCUCCAGGUGUUGUGUAUAUCAAUCAGCCCACUGGAGAUAUAUCAAUCUUUUAAUAAAUUAUAAGGUCCCCACUGCUUGAUACUUCACCAAAUACUGGCUACACCAGAAAAUGACUAAAU